CUGAAGGAAGGCUUUAUGGUCAAGGGCACCCACGAGGUAUUAAAUGCCUCUGCAACUUGAGGGACCAUCCAUCUGUUACCAAAUCACUAUUUCCUCUGAGGCGCACGUGUAUGCAACACAAUACAGAUGCUUUACUUGGGGGGAAGGAGAAAGUGACUACAACAACAGGAAAGCGGGUUACUGCUACACCAUGAAUCAAGCCACCAAAAACGGGGGAAAAAGGUGCUUUCUGUACUUGCAAGUGUAACCACAUCAUGGUUGGAGCCAUUCAGAACAGGGACGAUUCAGGUCAUGGUCACGGUCUUGUAUUCUGCUGGAGUGUACAGGCAGUAGUGACUAUCGUGUGGGCAUCCAUGCCUCUCCUGAAGCAAAGGAGCACCUGGCUCCCCCUUCAUGCAGCUGACCAUGGUCGGGUUGCUGCCAGCCGCUACACACUAGACCUCCAUCGAACUGUCAAAGUUGUUUUAUCAUGCGUGGCUAGAUAAUUUUUUUCCUGGCAUGUUGAAAUUAACCCAGAACUCAUCAUUGUGUAAAGUUGCUGAAUUGUUCUUUCCAAUAGACAUUUCCUUUUAUUUAACAGUCUUGUUUUCACCUGCCUGAAAUGGCAGUGUCUGGCAUAGAAAGGUGCAAGCUGCAUGAGUACAAGUAUGACAGAAGCUCACAAAUCUCA
rnacentral:lncRNA from 1 species